CAGCUGCUAAUAUUAGCAUGGAGAUACUUUGAUCUCGGAAAUACCAUCACUAUCUGGAGGCAGUUCUCCAGAGGCUGAACAGGUGGAUGGGCCUGCAAGUACUGACAGUCUACAGAACCAGAACAGACACUACAAAGUUCUACAGGAGCUAUACAAAUCUAGGCCCAGACCUAACAAGAAGGAUGUUGCCCAGCUGUUGGACCUCAAAUACCAAGCAAGACGGGCUUACAUUGACUCUGAUGUUUUGAAGGAGAAGGACAAACCUACCAAGAUUCUUCAAAAAAGUGGAUCAUACAAUGGAUGAACUAUAGCGGAUGCGCAGUCAAGGAAAUUCCCACUUCAUACCUGAACUGAAGAACCGCUGGAG